AGCCUUUGACAUGUGACUUGUGAUGGCCACAUAGCCUAUGUUCAUCUUAGGGGUAUCAGCAAGAGUAUCCGAGGAUUAUCCUAUGGUUGCUACCUUAUCAGCCAUAUCCAUGAAAUUCUGUAUAGAAACCAGACUAUCUCCAAGUUACUCUUUGUAUGAACUUAGGGGGCGUUUGGAUGUCAGGGGCUAAACUUUAGCCCUGUCACAUCACACGUUCAGAUGCUAAUUAGGAGGACUAAAUAUGAGCUAAUUAAAAAACUAAUAGCAGAACCCAUAGGCUAAAUCGCGAGACGAAUCUAUUAAGCCUAAUUAAUCCAUCAUCAGCGAAUGGUUACUCUAGCCCCACAUAGUCAAAUCAUGGACUAAUUAGGCUUAAUAGAUUCGUCUCGCGAUUUAGCCUAGGGGU
rnacentral:lncRNA from 1 species